rnacentral:lncRNA from 1 species
UCAAUUCUGUUGUUGAUGGGCGUUGGGGUUGUUCCUAGUUUUUGGCUACUACAAAUAAAGUUGCUAUGAACGUACAUUCUUGGACAAGUAUUUGGUGGGCCUAUUUAUCAUUGUUAUAGACCUAGAAGAAUUGCUGGAUCUUAGGGUAAAUGUAUGUUCAGCCAUAUAAGAAACUGUCAAAAAGCUUUCCAAAGUGGUGUAACCAUCCCCACACAUGCACCAGUAACGGGUAAGUAUUCCAGCCUACCCACACCGUCGCCAGCUCUGUGGUUUUCGGGAUUUGUAAUUUUUGCCAUUGUGGUGGUGUGUAGUGGUGUGUAGUGGUUCUUUACUGUGGUUUUAAUUUGCAUUUCUCUAACGGUCAGGGAUGUUGAGCAACUUUUCCUGUGGUUGUUAUGCAUUCUGUUAUUUUGUGUACUUGAAAUAAGGUAGACUCAAUCUUCCGACUUUAUUCUUUUUUUCAAUCAUAUCUUGACCACUUAUUCUUGUUAAGUCUCUUACAGAUUUAGAGGGAAGUUAUCUCUUUAUUAUUGAUUUGUGAUAGACUUUUACAUAUAUAUCCAGGGUGUAGGCUUUUUGUCUUGUGGAAAGUCACUAUCAUGAGGACAGCAAGGGGGGUGGGCCUGGAUGAGACCACCAAGGCAGAGUGUGCAUAGAGAGAAGACAGCUGGAUUCAGAGCCCUGUCAUGAGGGCUAGAUGAAGAAGGUCUAGAAGAGCAAGCAGGUGAGUGAUGGGAAAAAUAGGUAUGUGAAUCUUUGCAGUCUCGAAGAAAUUAUUUCAUAAAAGAAAAGGUGAUCAACUGCAUGAAAAUUAAAGAAGCCCACCCCAUGAGAACAAGCAGAGGCUUUCCAUUCACUGAACAUCAACAGUGUCACUGGCACUGCUCCGAAAGCAGGGGAUAAACUGAUGAGCAAAACAGACCAAACUGCACCUCCAAGGACCUUUUAGCCAGGGGAGGAGAGUCUGGCAGUUGGAAAGCGUGUCCACAGUCCCCAGGGAACCAGGAACCACGUCCUGGGGAGCAGGGAGCUUGUGGAAGAACUGAAGCUCAGUAAACAGGUGACUGAGGUGGGGGCACCACGGGGUCAGAGUCUGCAGGGCAGUCACCGCUGGACAUGGUUGAGGAAUAACGGAGGAGACUCCAGGCAUGAGCGAGUAGGGGUACUUGUGACACAGGUGGUUCAAAAUCAGCAUGGAGCGGGGACUCAGAGCAAGGGUGUGAGCCGUCAGACUGGGCCCUCCAGGGGUGACUUCGUUCCCUAUCUCCUUUCGCGUCUGAGCUCUUCCUUUUCCUUGCAUCCAGCCCUUCUUGCUACUGUCUGGGCACACCCCAGGCAUCUUGGUGCAGCCCACAGGGCCCUCUGGAGCCUGGUCCCUGGAGAUUAUCUUUAUGGUGAAUAUCAGGCACCUGAGAAAGGAGAAGGCGCUUUGUAAGUCUCUUCAUUUUCCCCUCUAUUUUUAGCAAGGUAGAAUUGUUAUGGAUUUAAUGGGGGGAAUAAAUACUGCCCUUCACCAUCCCAGGUACUAGUUCUGUUAAUAAUUUUUCAAGCGGAGAAUAAAGAGGAGCCGUGUAAAAAUAGUUACAUCCUAAUUUGGCCUGAUUUCAAAUUAUCUAAUUAGAGAAAGUCCGGAGUUUCUUAUUUUUAAAAGUGUUUACUCAGGAUAUUUCCAGCUAGUGGGGGAAAUGAACAGAAGAAGUGCAGGGCAGGGCACAGCAAGGUGGGUCUGCGGCGGCGAUGACCUGGAACGGCUGAGGCCAAUCACAGGAAUCACCCAGAGGAUGCCUGGGGACCGGUCAGGGGCGCCCGUUUCCACUCAACCCACAGCUAACUGCGGCAGUGACACCACGCUGAUUUGCUUCAUUGAAGAUGAACAUUUAUGAUACCAGCACCUCCUACAACCUUUUCUUCAUUGUUCUGUGUAACAUGGACCAUUUUCUCUCCAACGUUGCCCUUCUUGAGAGAAGGGUGAUAAAUACGUUGAAGCCCAAUUGUCUUUAUUAUUCACAAGGUGAAAGUCCUUUCCUGGUACCACUGUCAGGCUCUCCACCUCCAAACAUCAAUCACUCUCCAUCCC